GAUGAACGCUGGCGGCGUGCUUAACACAUGCAAGUCGAACGGAAAGGCCCCAGCUUGCUGGGGUACUCGAGUGGCGAACGGGUGAGUAACACGUGGGUGAUCUGCCCUGCACUUUGGGAUAAGCUUGGGAAACUGGGUCUAAUACCGAAUAUGACCACUUCUUGGAUGUUGUGGUGGAAAGCUUUUGCGGUGUGGGAUGAGCCUGCGGCCUAUCAGCUUGUUGGUGGGGUAAUGGCCUACCAAGGCGGCGACGGGUAUCCGGCCUGAGAGGGUGUACGGACACAUUGGAACUGAGAUACGGCCCAGACUCCUACGGGAGGCAGCAGUGGGGAAUAUUGCACAAUGGGCGUAAGCCUGAUGCAGCGACGCCGCGUGGGGGAUGAAGGCCUUCGGGUUGUAAACUCCUUUCGCUAUCGACGAAGCCACUUGUGGUGACGGUAGGUAGAUAAGAAGCACCGGCUAACUACGUGCCAGCCGCCGCAGUAA
rnacentral:rRNA from 1 species